CCUCCGUUGCGGAGCAACCUUUCGGCGACCAGCUGGAGCCUGGGCACCCUUCUUCAAAUAAUGGCUUGUGAUGCGCAGACUAGAACGUUUAGGGUUACAAAAGAACCUCGUUUUCUUCACAUCCUUAUCUUUGUGAUGAAGGAUUCCGCUUACAUAUAUAUAUGUAAUGAUUGGUUUCUUCAGGUGUGUAUAUAUAUAUAUAGAUAUAUAUAUAUAGAUAUAUAUCUCCAAAUAUCCUAAAGGACACUGCCCUUCAUCAUUCCAUACCGUUACACAUGUAUAGGACCAUGCAUGGUGAUCUCCUCCACACAAAAAUAAAUGCUGGUGCAGAACAGGGCCUCACUCUGUUGCCCAGGCUGUAUUGCAGUGGCAGGAUCUCAGCUCACGGCAACCUCUGCCUCCUGGGUUCAAGCGAUUCUCCUGCCUCAGCCUCCUGAGUAGUUGGGAUUACAGACUUACUGACAUACACCACCACGCUGGUCAA